CGUUGUCCGGAUUAUUGGGCGUAAAGAGCUCGUAGGCGGCUGGUCGCGUCUGUCGUGAAAACUUCCGGCUCAACCGGGGGCUUGCGGUGGGUACGGGCCGGCUAGAGUGCGGUAGGGGUAACUGGAACUCCUGGUGUAGCGGUGGAAUGCGCAGAUAUCAGGAAGAACACCGAUGGCGAAGGCAGGUUACUGGGCCGUUACUGACGCUGAGGAGCGAAAGCGUGGGGAGCGAACAGGAUUAGAUACCCUGGUAGUCCACGCUGUAAACGUUGGGCACUAGGUGUGAGGCUCCUUUCCGGGGGUUUUGCGCCGUAGCUAACGCAUUAAGUGCCCCGCCUGGGGAGUACGGCCGCAAGGCUAAAACUCAAAGGAAUUGACGGGGGCCCGCACAAGCGGCGGAGCAUGCGGAUUAAUUCGAUGCAACGCGAAGAACCUUACCAAGGCUUGACAUGUUAACUGUGGCUCUAGAGAUAGGGUUUACCCUUUUGGGUGGUUUUCACAGGUGGUGCAUGGUUGUCGUCAGCUCGUGUCGUGA
rnacentral:rRNA from 1 species